rnacentral:lncRNA from 1 species
CUCAACAGUUCUGGGGGAAGGCUUUCAUUUUUCACAUUUUACAGAUUGGGCAGUGGGUUCAUAGUGGUAAGUUCCGCUAUGGUAUAAGUUCCAACACUUAAUACCAACUAAGUGUUGGAACUCUAGAGUUCUAAAUGCGAUAAUCACAGUCCACAUGAACAAAAUGUUUUACAGCAUGGCUUGAAUUUGAUAUCUGGAUCUUAUAUUUUUAUAUAGUCCCUUCUGAAGACAUCUAACACUUGCUCACAUCUUUCAAAAUGAUUUACAAGCUUUUCUGGUACACAAUAACAGCCUGUUUUUGUGUGUCACUUGCUUUUAGAUUGCAAGUUUUUUGUGUCACUUGCUUUCAGAUUUGUUUUUCUCCCUUUAUGCUGAGUGGUAUCUUACUUGUUUUCAGCACUGGCCAGAAAAUCUGCACAUAAUGAAAAUAUAUAUUUGAUCAUCACUGAGCUAUUGACAACACUAGAUUGUGAGUGUUUUAAAAACUUAUUGCUGCAAUACAACACAGUUUUAUCUAAAUCUCAUCUCAAGAUCUGCUUCUAGAAAACCCUACAUAAGACAAAGGAUGAGAGGAACAGAAGUUGAAAAAAUGAAGAAGGUAUGAAAGAUAUAUGCCUCUGCAAAAGAUAUAGAGAUGUCAAAGGAGCAUGAUUCAAGCAAAUGCAAGUAAUCGUCAUAGCUGGGGAUGAAGAGGUGUCUUGUGGUGCGAUAUGAAGCCAGAGAAUUUUGGUAAAGACUGAAUCGUGACAUGCUUCAUAUUUGAUACUAACGAAUAGAGAUUUUGUCAGACAAUGAAUAAUUUUAAUAAUGAAAGAUAAAUAUUUGAUUUGUAUUUUACAAAUUAUGAAAAAAAGUAUACCUAUGAUUGUGUCAUACCUAUGAUUCAUAGAAUGGUGUAAGUGUAGCAUAACAAGAGAACAGAAUUUGUUUCUUUUUCCUUUUCUGUUUGCUCUCCCUGCUACCACUGUGAUACAGUUUGUCUCUAUGAAUAAUUGACCAAUAUACCUCUCUAUGGUCCAACAGUGUCAAUAGAGAAAAAUAUAUAUGGAACAUUUAUAUAUAUUUUUAUAAAGUAUUUGUUUUCAUUUAAAAUAAUAAACCUUUUUC